AUGAGAGCUGAAAACAAAAGGGACAAAAAGUACAAAAGAUAUUUUGAAAAUAAUUACGUAUGGAUUUUACAAAAUGACAAGAAAGAGCAAUAUAAUGGAAUACUUCUGCAACUUCCUCAAGUGCCACACAUAGGAUGCAAAUUGUAUACACACUGCCGAUUCAACCUGCUGGUGAUGGAUUUUAACCUGGCAUCUUCUGGGCAAUUUAAAAUGAGUUCUGGAUUUAUCAUUUAAUGUACGUUCUCAUUUUCAAGUACGUGCUUAUGAAUGUAAACGGAGGAGAUUUUUUGUUAACAAGGUGUUUGUGCUGUGGAAAGAAUCUACGAGGGUUUGACUGGAAUACAAUGGCAGCGGCGCCUGUGAAAACCGACGUUCAGGGGAAAAAAGCUCUCUGCAGAGGGAUAACGUUAAAUGGGUCACAGGCUCUACCAGCUGCUAGGUUCCAUACGCCGCAAUCAAAGUGAAUGUUCUAAAAUUAUUACAGUCAAACAGUCAUGUGGUGGCAGUUAACGUCCCCAGUGUUUAAUCAUCUUACAGUAGAAUGGUUUUAUGCAUAUUUCAUUUGCAUAUCAUUAAGCUGGUUAAGCAUGGGGUAUUCAGAGUGGGAUGAAUACAAUGUGAGUCUCAUAUGAUCCAUAUCAGAGAAGCUACUCUGCUCAAUUGACUGUCUGCAUUUUUCUCCUCUUUUAAUCCGCUGACUUUGUUAUAUCUGAAACACAGUGGCUGGAAAUCAUUGUGGAUUCCUACUUUUAUUAUGACAGCGUUUUGAAAAAAAUUAUAUUCAAAAUGAUACGGCAAGGGAGAUUUAAAGAACCACGGAUCGCUUUAAUGCGGAAAUGUUACUGAACAGGAAAAUUGUCCGAAUAAUUUCCUAAUUUCUGUGAAAAUAGAAACUUUUUCUUAAUAAUUAAAAAGCAGAGUGUCAGAAAUAAAGAUUAGGUAAAAUUGUGGAACACCAGCCCGCAACGCUUGUCUGUAAUCAAGAGACUACAUGCGUCAACUAUUUCUGCACAAAUUAACGUGCAUCUAAUUUUGAUAGCCACUAUUAAACCAUUAAUGUGAUUAAUCAAUUAUUUCAGUCUGAAAGCCUAUUAUGCGUACACGACAGAUACAGUGGGGUCUUUGUCACUUUCAUACAUGAAUAACAUAGUAAUCGCAGGCCUUUGUGUAUUUUCUCAAUGGUUUAAUUCAUUCACCCCAACAUUGCCUAGUUCUGGCAGAUAAUCAAAAUUACUUCCUGGGAAAACUAUAAAGACAAUUAAGCAUGGAAAUCUGUUGCUGAUGUACAACACAUGAAUUCAUUUGGAAAUUAGGCCGCUUUGUUCUUUCCUUCGCUCUCGCUUUUGUUGUUAAUAUUAAUAUUCAAAUGAGAUACAUCGUGACUCUACUGUACAAUUAGCUGGCAAAAAAAGCCACACACUGCUGACUGCGACAUUUUGUGUAGUGAACAUGCAGAUGUCGCUGUUGUUCUUUACAUGGGUAUAAUAAUAUGCAAAAUAGUGAGCAUCACUUGGAUACAAAAUAAUUUAAAUUUUAUUUCAAGAAGUCUCUGCCUUUCUUCUGGAGGAAUGAGCUUGUAAAUGUAGCUCGAGUCAAAUGGUGUAGGAAUUCUGGAGAAUUUGCUAUGGAAUUAUAAACAUAAUGGCAUAAGUUACAGUCAUUCAUCUAUUGUCAUCCUGAAUAGUACCAAUUCAACUGCUUUUGAAUGGAUUUAUCAAUAUGGAUAACCUUUUUUUCCAUUUCUGAAUUUUCGAUGUACUUUACAUACAUAACUGAAUUACAGAGAACUCUCUCCAACGGCUUACACUAAUUUACCCAAUGGAUAUUAUCACUCAGUCACUGAUGACUUUAACACGUUGGUAUUCAGGGCACCUGUUUUCACUGCUAUUGAUGCUGCCAGACUGCUGAGUUUUUCCAGGAUUUUCUGUUUGGUCCAACAGCGUCAAACAG